GGAAAGUAUUUAUCGGGUGGUUAUUUCCAAUAAACGUAUGACAAUUUUGGUAUAUAUGGAAAGUAGAAAUAUCCAAUCUUACUAGAAAAAUACUGGAUUCCCUGAAAAACACUCAUGGAGCACAUACAGGACAAAAAUGUAAGGGUUUCCCCGACGAUUAGGAGUAUCUGCACGCGUGACGUCGAUGGUUGCACGCGGAGAUUGAGCGCUUGGUGUACAUGUUGAUAAACUUUAUGAAGAGUUAGACGUACAACACUUUCUGAGAUAAAAAUCACGAAAAAAGACGCGGGCAGUGGAUAAUCCGAGAAUUUAAUUAGGCUUCGAUGUUUGUAAUAAAUAGUCAGCGAUUAAUGCCAACAUCGUCUUGUGUAUGCAUUGAAUUCUCCUCCGACUUCGCUUCUGUUGCUAGGUACUGAGAGAGUGUUACCACAAUCUGUGUAAACUGGCCGCAUUUAUUUCUUAUCAAGAUAACACACGUAAAAGGCGGAUAAUUUAGUCAAUUUGUAUCAGCUGGAAUACAUUCUUUAGAUCAGG